rnacentral:lncRNA from 1 species
CUAAAAGAUUGGCUACUUCUUGAAGACACUGAUGUGUUAGAUUUGGAAGGGUUUAACAAUGUUUUUGGAUGGCAUGCAUAUUUAUGGUAUGACAAAGUUAAAGCAAAUAAGGCCUUUAAGAACCAUAUUGUUAGAAAAUCACUGUUUAAUGUCUGGACAAAAUAUAAAGACUUGCUGGAAAAUAAAACACCAAGGUGGCUUUCACCUUUGGAAGCUAAGGCCCGAAAAAGACCCAAUAUGGAGGCCAAAUGGCCAAAAUAUUGGGAAAUACUAGAAAAAGAUGGAGACAAUUGGAAAUUGCAGAGUUUGGAGAAAAUGAAAGACAAAGUGCGAGAUUGGUUACAUUAUGCUCAGAUUAAAGAAGUUUUUAAAAAUGAUAAGAAACUAGGGUUCCAGGUGGAGAAAUCGAAAUUAGAAACAGAAUUGUUAGAACCAAAGACUAAGAUACUUUCAAGGAUGUAUAACUUGCUGUUGGAAUGGAAUACACAAGAUGAAAUGGUUAAAUCGGCUAUGAUAAGGUGGGCACAGGAUAUUGGGCAUAAUAUUAUGUUUGAGGACUGGGAAAGGCUGUGGAGUAAUGGAUUGAAAUUUACUGCAUGUAAUGCUUUGAAAGAAAAUGUAAUGAAAAUGAUUUAUAGAUGGUAUAUGACCCCAGUCAAACUCGCAAAAAUUUACCACCUGUCUGAUAACAAGUGCUGGAAAUGUAAAGAGUGUGAAGGAACGUUCUUUCACCUCUGGUGGACCUGCCCUAAAGUGAAGGCGUUCUGGGAAAUGAUUUAUAAUGAAUUGAAAAAGGUAUUUAAAUAUACUUUCACUAAGAAACCAGAGGCUUUCCUUUUGGGUAUUGUCAGCCAAGGGGUGGCAAAGAAGGACCAAACAUUUUUUAUGUAUGCAACAACAGCAGCAAGGAUACUACUCGCAAAACAUUGGAAAACUCAAGAUCUACCCACACUGGAAGAAUGGCAGAUGCAACUGAUAGACUAUAUGCAACUGGCUGAAAUGACUGGCAGAAUCCGUGACCUGGGAGAAGAGAGAAUCGAGGAGGAUUGGAAGAAAUUUAAGAACUACCUACAAAAACAUUGUGAUUUGACUGAAUGCUGAAUAAGAUGCUUGACUAAAUAACUGAGCACCACUUAACUUAGAAGUUUUUAAGAAAAUAAGAAAAACUGUGAAAGUUUAACUCUUUAUGAGAACUAUAAGAUCAUGAAAUAUCGAAGAGAUAUAAGAAUUUAAAUAAGAUGAUAAAUUGCUGACAAAAUGUUAUAAUGAUGAAGGUGGGAGCGGGAGAUGUGAGGAAGUCCAAAGAAAAUGUGAAAUUAUGUUAAGACGAAUGUUAUAUUGUUUAUUACAUUUAUUCCUAUUGUAAAAUCCAAUAAAUUGCUUUAAAAAAAAAAAAAAAAAAAGCAUGGGAGAAAUAACCAGAUUGAACCAGGAUGUCUCUGCAACUGCUGAGUUGGAAUAUUAAUGGUUGUAACAUUCCGGAAAAAAGGAAGAAAAUAUUUCACAUAUUAAAAAAGAACAAUUGGACAUUAUUUGUCUACAAGAAACACAUGUGACGAGGCUCCACAGAAAAGUGUUAAUAAACAAAAGAUUGGGCCAGGAAUUUGUAUCGUCGGACAAAGUCAAGAAGAGAGGCGUGGUGAUAUAUGCAAAAGAGAGCCUGUCACCUAAAUUUUUAUUCAAAGAUGAACAUGGAAGAAUUUUGGCUAUUGAGAUACAAUAUCAAGGAGAGAAACUGUUGAUAUUAGGAAUUUAUGCACCUAAUGAAGGGAAAUCGGAAUUUUACAAGAAGCUGCAGGAGACAAUGCUGGACUAUCUGGAUUACAACAACAUCAUAAUGAUGGGAGAUAUGAAUGGGGUCGUAUCAACUAACAUGGACAAGUCACAAAGUCAAAAUGUUACAAAAGACGGCAGACUACCUAAAACCUUUUUUGAAAUGACUGACAAUAUGGACCUGAUUGACAUUUGGAGGACAAAGAACCCACUAGGAAGAGAAGGAACAUUUUUUUCUGAAGCCCAACUGACCUGGACAAGAAUCGACCAAAUAUGGAUUUCUAGAGGCCUGGCACCUAAGGUCAGAAAAGUGGAAAUCUGCCCAAAGACCUGUUCCGACCAUAAUGCAGUAAAGAUGGAUAUGACACUACUACCAACUGGAUCCUUUAGAUGGAAGAUGAAUGACAAUUUGUUUAGAGAUCAGGAAAUUACCAAGAAGGCCCAAAAAGCUUUGAA